UACGUAGGGUGCGAGCGUUAAUCGGAAUUACCGGGCGUAAAGAGUGCGUAGGCGGUUCUUGAAGUCCGCUGUGAAAGCCCCGGGCUUAACCUGGGAAUGGCAGUGGAAACUGGGGGACUUGAAUUGAGCAGAGGGGGGUGGAAUGCCGCGUGUAGCAGUGAAAUGCGUAGAGAUGCGGCGGAACACCGAUGGCGAAGGCAGCCCCCUGGGCUUAAAUUGACGCUGAGGCACGAAAGCGUGGGGAGCAAACAGG
rnacentral:rRNA from 1 species